rnacentral:rRNA from 1 species
AUUGAACGCUGGCGGCAGGCCUAACACAUGCAAGUCGAGCGGAGCGGCGGACGGGUGAGUAAUGCCUAGGAAUCUGCCUGGUAGCGGGGGAUAACGUCCGCAAACGGGCGCUAAUACCGCAUACUAUCAGAUGAGCCUAGGUCGGAUUAGCUAGUUGGUGGGGUAAAGGCCUACCAAGGCGACGCUCCGUACCUGGUCUGAGAGGGUGAGCAGUCACACGGGAACUGUGACACGGUCCAGACUCCUACGGGAGGCAGAAGUGGGGAAUAUUGGACAAUGGGCGAAAGCCUGAUCCAGACCUGCCGCGUGUGUGAAGCAGGUUUUCGGUUUGUAAAGCACUUUAAGUUGGGAGGCGUUACCAACAGAAUAAGCACCGGCUAACUUCGUGCCAGCAGCCGCGGUAAUAC